GUGAACGCUGGCGGUAGGCCUAACACAUGCCAGUCGAACGGCAGCACAGUAAGAGCUUGCUCUUACGGGUGGCGAGUGGCGGACGGGUGAGGAAUACAUCGGAAUCUACUUUUUCGUGGGGGAUAACGUAGGGAAACUUACGCUAAUACCGCAUACGACCUACGGGUGAAAGCCGGGGAUCUUCGGACCUUGCGCGAUUGAAUGAGCCGAUGUCGGAUUAGCUAGUUGGCGGGGUAAAGGCCCACCAAGGCGACGAUCCGUAGCUGGUCUGAGAGGAUGAUCAGCCACACUGGAACUGAGACACGGUCCAGACUCCUACGGGAGGCAGCAGUGGGGAAUAUUGGACAAUGGGCGCAAGCCUGAUCCAGCCAUACCGCGUGGGCGAAGAAGGCCUUCGGGUUGUAAAGCCCUUUUGUUGGGAAAGAAAAGCAGCAGGUUAAUACCCCGCUGUUCUGACGGUACCCAAAGAAUAAGCACCGGCUAACUUCGUG
rnacentral:rRNA from 1 species